CAUGACCUAUUCAUUAUAAUAUAACAUUUGACUCGUAUCUUGAUUGAUGAUUGGCGAAACACUUCAUUUCCUACAAGAAUUUCUCGAGGCCAUAAACCAGAUUCUGUAAAACCAAAAGAGAACAAAGGACAAGUGAUUAGAUAAAACUUGUUCACGCCUUUACCUGAACAUCAGUUGAACUAUCUUCUCUGUUGUAUAUCUGACCAAGAUUUGAGAUGUUGUUCGCAAUUUGGGUAGCUUCUGGAGAAGGAAGAUCCUGCAUUUCAUAGUGGAAGGAAGCCAUGAUCACAGCCUGUUGGAGAAGUAUAGAUCCUAUGGAUAGUGUUGGUGCUACAAGGCACCCCUAUAAUGCAAACAAUGGAGAAAUUAGAUAAAUCUGGAACAUUUAUGGUCGCUCCAGGACAAGCUCGACUUCACCAAGAAAAAACAACAAAACGAAUUUGCUGAGAGUAUCUCACCCUGUGCUCACCAUGGUGGCCUUGUCACAUAGUGCAGAUAACGCUGAUACUGUCUCUGGCUUAAUCCGAGGUACAUACACAACACUCUUCAUCCCAAAUGCCGUUGCCUUGAUAAGAUCAAAGAUCAUUAACACUCUUGAUGGUUUGACUUUUCCAACUUGGUGGAUAAAAAAGAAAGUUUUUUUUAUUAACUACCUGUUUUACAUUCUCAUACACUGUUGAUGGGUCUGUAAAGUCGAUCACAACUCCCACUUCUUUUCCCUACCAACAAUAUUUUUCGUUUAGGUUGUUCCGUAGAUGUCACUCUGGUGGGAAACAAGAGAGAAAGUUUGGAAAUAAUGGAACCUGAGAUAUCGAGCCUAAGACCAUUGUUAGAUCACUCACUACUGGUAUCUCUAGAGGCUCCUCCAUGUCACAGAGCUAAAAGAACAUUAGAGUUUAGGGUGUCAUGUUAAUAGAUAAACCAACCAGGUGGAAGUAAAUUGUAAGUUAAGUCACCAAGCCAAUAUCUUCGCCAAGAAAAUGGUUGUCGACAGCACCAGCCAACUCCAUUCCCCUGGCUUUAGUCACAGCAACCACAGCCGCUCUUCCUAUCUCCUUUGCAGCUCCGUUUAUGAUUACCUGAUAUGGAAAUUUGUUGCAAUUCAUCACAAGCUGCAUUGUAUGGAAACUCCUGAUGAAGAUGAUGAUGUUACCUUUAUGUUGUUUUGGGAAGGUUGAGAGGCGGAGCAGGAAAAAGAAGGCCUAGAGGGUUUGAGAUGUCGUGAAUGUGAUAGCUUGAAGAAGCAGCAGCUCACAGCUGCCAUUGCUCUAACCUCUUAUGAUAACUUUUUUCUUUUCUUGUGGUUUCCUCUGCCUUUGAUGUUGAUAAGAGUUUUUGCACUUGUUGCCAAAGCUUUUUAAACGAUGUAGUUUUUGAGGCUUUCUGGAUGGAUAAGAUUUUGGCUCUUCUGAUUGCAA